rnacentral:rRNA from 1 species
GUUUGAUCCUGGCUCAGGACGAACGCUGGCGGCGUGCCUAAUACAUGCAAGUCGAGCGGACGGAAGGGAGCUUGCUCCCGGAAGUCAGCGGCGGACGGGUGAGUAACACGUGGGUAACCUGCCUGUAAGACUGGGAUAACUCCGGGAAACCGGGGCUAAUACCGGAUAGCUUCUUCCUCCGCAUGGAGGAAGAAUGAAAGGCGGCCUUUGGCUGUCACUUACAGAUGGACCCGCGGCGCAUUAGCUAGUUGGUGGGGUAACGGCCCACCAAGGCGACGAUGCGUAGCCGACCUGAGAGGGUGAUCGGCCACACUGGGACUGAGACACGGCCCAGACUCCUACGGGAGGCAGCAGUAGGGAAUCUUCCGCAAUGGACGAAAGUCUGACGGAGCAACGCCGCGUGAGUGAAGAAGGUUUUCGGAUCGUAAAGCUCUGUUGUCAGGGAAGAACAAGUACCGGAGUCACUGCCGGUACCUUGACGGUACCUGACCAGAAAGCCACGGCUAACUACGUGCCAGCAGCCGCGGGUAAUACGUAGGUGGCAAGCGUUGUCCGGAAUUAUUGGGCGUAAAGCGCGCGCAGGCGGCCUU